rnacentral:piRNA from 1 species
UUUACUAUAUUUCAUCUGGGCUGCUCUUAA